CAGGACACUCUUCUUCUGCGUUACCCCCCACCUCCCCCUCCCUCUCUCCCCUACUGUUUAAGCCUCUAUAGAAACAGUCGCAUAUACUUCAGCCACAUGUGGACAGUUGAUGGCAGAAUGAAUUCCACUCAUCCCGCGGUGAUGAGAGACGAUGGGAGGCCGCGUUACUGCUGAUGUUGACUGCAGCAGUUGAAGAUGCUUCGGUAAAUCAUUUCAAAUGUAUUAAGCCGCCCGGAUCUGAGCUUAAUGCUGCACCGGUCGCUGUGGCGCAAUUCUUCAAGCUGACCAAACCUUUUAUGACAAUAAAUUUGCAAUCCCAACUAAGAUUACCCUGCGACUUUGCAAGAGGUUAUUUUGUUGGUUAUGAUUGUUGCAUCUAAUAAAUUCGCGGCAAGAAACCAAAAACGAAAAAACGGGCACAGCCGAGCAAACUCAGCAGAGCAAAAUGUGCCGCCCCGUUAAAUUCACUCCAACCCAGAAGGGAUUUUAUUAAAGGUUGCAAUGCAAAUGGUGUCUGUGACUCUCCUCAUUCAAAUGAUGGGCCGAUUAUGAAACAACACACACACACACGCGGUUAUUUUGUGAGAGUUGACACUUGCAGAAGCUUCUGUCGCCCUCCUUCCAAGAUCUCUCUCCCGGUAUUACCUGUUCAACCUCUAUUUCUCUUCACUCGAUUAUUGCUGCAUCACACCUGACUGCCCUCAUCGAAACAUUGAACCGUACCCUCUCCUCCAUGUGCCUCCCUCUCUUUUGAAGGAGAGCACUUGAAGGCGUUCUCUUUUGCCUCAAGAUCAAACAGUGUAUCAAAAGAAAAAAAAGAGAAAGAGAAUUGGACACCGAGCACCUGAUUACCGUGGAUCUUUUGGGGUGAGCUCAGUCCAGCCGCACCUGACUGGACUUUCAUUUCCUUCACCUGACCCGUGAUAAUCCACUUAGCAGCGUAACUUCUGGUUCCCUUCAUUGUCCUUGGCUGUGUUUACAGGAAGCAUCGGUUCGUUUUUACCAAAACAGAAUUGCACUGAAAAUUCUGAUGGACAAUCUUUCUGUUUUGGGAGGAAUCCAUACAGUUUUUACCUGUUGAGAAUAAGUAACCCGUCCCAUAUAUGUGCAUAUAUAUGUACAUUUAUAUACUUUUAUGCAGUGAUACAGAGAAGUUCUUAUAUACUGUCUGUGCUACAAAUCGCUAUAGAAACAGGUUGAAGAUAAAUUUAGUCAAAAGGGCAAUAACCAGGCACCAAAACAGGUGGGAACAGUUGUGUGAGUGUGUGGGGAGGUCAGGUGGUGACGAAUGGUGGGAAAGAGGUUACUGCACAGCAGGAGUGAGAGUCCAGAUCCGAAUGGAUACCAGAGUUAGUAUGUGGCUGGAAAUGCAGAGCAGACAGCAGAACGUGUGAGUGGAAGUUGGCUGAUCCCGAGCUGUCAAAGGUACAACAUCUAAACUAAGUUAAUGAGGGAGCACACAUCUAACGUUACAUGAAUGAGUGAGUGGAAGCCGCUCCUGGCCCUCGGGGCAAUAUCCUUUGCUUAGACAGCAAAAAAGAAUAUCAAAGAAGUUUGAAAUUCACACCCGUUAUGACAGCAUGAAAUUUGACUUACAACGUCAUAAAAACAUGCUGACUCAAGAGUAAGUUAACCUUAGCUGAAAGCAUCAACCUGUCUCAAUGUGGUUUAAGCCUUUUUAAAGUCAAAUGCAAGCAGUCUUUUUUUCCCCACAUUCUCUACAUAACCCUUUAUUUUUCAAAUGCUGCAGAGUUCUUUAAAGUCCCUGAAUGUUGGGUCAUAACUUAUAUAAAUCCAGCGGCUGGGUUUUGAUUCAGCGGUAGACGCCUGUGGCUUGUAGCCGUGAACAGUGGCACUUACACAGUUAGGGAAUGUUUUAAGGAAAUUAACUCUGAUCUGAAGUUUAACACAUAUUUGACCAAGACUCUUAUUAAUAAUUUGGCAAAUAUGCAGAAAAUACAUUAGAUUCUGUGCCUCUUGAAACACGUUUGAGUAAUGUAAUAUUAAAUUGACAUGUCCACCUCACAUGUUAAACACUAAUGUAUCUUUGUAGUAAAGCAUAUCCAGGAUUGUUAUACAAUUCUGAAUCAUUGAAGCAAGGCAAGGCUAUUUUAUUUGUAAAGCACAUUUCAACAACAAGGCAAUUCAAAUUGACCUUUGCAAGUUCUAUUCUAAUCAUUGCCUCCACCUUGGCCAGCUAUCGAGAAAGAAUUAUUAAACAUUUGAGAAUUUGUAGGACAACCUUAAUAAUAGAAACAAUCAUUUGUUUUUGGUUGUAACCCGAAUAUAAUUUCCUCAAUAAAGUGUUUUUCUUUCUGUAAAAACUCACCGUUAGAAAUGUGACUUGGAUGCUAGGAUGGUGACAGCAGUGCAAACCAUAGUGAAAACUCACUGUGCCCUACUGGUUUUCAGUACUCCAGAUUAACCUGUAGGUUUCAGGUCCGACUAUUGGAUGAAUCGCUGUUAAAUGUUUUAAAGAUAUAUUUGUGAUCCCCAGAGGUUGAAGCCUUUUGACCCGGGAUACAUUUAAACUAAUGCUGGCAUUUAGGGCAAAGGAAACUCUGUGCUAACGGAGCUGCUGGAGGGGGCAUGAAAUCCUGGAUGAUAUGCAUGAAUGCACAUCAUCCAGACGGGCCAGGCUGGAUGUGGAGGCUGCAUGCCGUUAAAAUGUUCCUUUGUAGCACUGAUACUUUUGUUCUAGGCAGAAAGUAAAUGUUGAGGUGGGUGCAGGAAGCAGGCGGAGGCUGUUUGCAUGAAAGAGAUAAGGGUCGGCACCUAAACCUCUUUAACCCUCUGUUUGUUUUGUUGCAUGCCCUCGCUAAAAGUUAGUAGUCGGGUAAAAGCAAACAUUAUGCUGUGGGAACAGCGCCUGUAUCAAAGUGUCUGUAUUAUAGCAGGCGUGGCUCCCAAACUGCAGAGAGAAGUAUGUCCCUCGACUGCACUUUGCACUGCUAAAGAGAACAAGCCCCACUAUAACAUUAAAUAUUAUAUUAUCAUACCUUUCAGAAUAUUAUGAGUUCAUGUUUUAUUGAAUGUGAGAGCUGCUUGCAUGCGAGACUCAUUACAGUAAUUAGUAAUAAUUAUAACAAUUUGGAACCAGAUAAAAUAGAUAUUUAUAUAUUACUUGUCCUACUAUAAACAUUUACUAUUAUUACUAUAAAUAUUAUCAAAACAAUAGGAGGAAUUCAUUAAAAAAAUUAAACUUUAAAGUGCUGGCAUUUCUCAUCCCUCUUAACAGGUUGUUUUUAACGUUUUCCACUUUCGUUUCAUUUUCUGCAGCUCUAAGGUUGUUAAACUGAUUCCAGUUACAAUAUUAAGUUUGAAGCAGGCGGACCUAAAUGCAGAGAGGAAUAACAGAUUGCUGCACUUCACUUCAAUCAUUUAUUAAAAUAAUUUAGAAGGCUCGCACGCAAUCAGUCCAAAGCCAGGCAGGAACAGCAGGCGGGUUACAGGUGAACAGAACUUCACGCGACAGAAAAGACAAGCUGAUGAAGGGCCGUGGAACAAGGCGAGGAGAUAACGAGGGGGACGUGACAGCUCAACGACGAGGAACACGUGGAACUCAUAGAGGCGGGCCGUCAAUCACACCAGCAGGAAACAAGACAAGAAGUAAAACAUCAAAGACAAAGAGGACCUUUAAACAACCCGUGGGACCAUUUAGAUUGAGGAUUAUUCCUCAAUAUUUUCAUGGGUCAUAUAAGUGUCUCCUUUAUUCAUCCAAUCGAUCGUUUGGCGCUGCAGUUAAACGGUUUUCGUGUUUUUUUUACUUGGAUUUAAAAGUAACUUUUAACGGAUUAGUAUUUUUAUUAGUGUUUUAUUUUUGCAGUAUUUGGGUGCGCAGCAUAUUGUUGGUAUCACUGGCCUUCCAGCCGGCAGCGGCUUCUUAAUGCAAUUAUCAAAUGGGGAUUUUGCUCAAGGAAUUUAAAUAUAUAUUGCAUACUCACAUUCCUUCAUAAGCAGUUAUUUGUUUAAAAAUAUUUUGCUCUUUGCCAUCAUUGUUUUACAUGCCAUCUAAAUAAAAUGUGUGAUUAUUGGUACAAGUAAAACUUCUGGUUGAGUUUGUCUAUAAGCCACAGCCUCUCAGAAGUACCUCCCCCUGCAUUAAAAUCUCUAAUUUCACACCACCAGGACUUCCUCCAUCUCCCUCAUAAAAUAUUAGGUGUUUUAAUGACGCCGGACACAUUAAUGCGUACACACGUGCAAGCACACGAUCCCUCCCACAUACGCACACAACAGACUUUUAAUGACAGCCAAGCGCUAGCAUUCCUUUUCAAUAUUCAUGCCUUUUACGUAACCUUUACGUAACUGUGGGACGUGUGUACACAACUCAGCGUGCGUGUGCGUGCUGCAUGCACGUGUGUGUGUGCACGCCUGGGCUUAUGUGUGUGCCGGCGCGUGUGUUUGUGUGUAGUUUAGGUCUUUUCUCUGUAGUUUCCCUCAUUAUAAGAAAAGUCUUUAAUGUUUUUCUCCCAGUGGAGAGGGGAAGGGAAUACGAAACUGUUAUUGCAGAGAUAGUGGGAGAAAAAUCUAAGGGAGACGGCAAAAGACAGACACUUUAGCUCAUGCAGUGUGAUCUCUCGGAUGACGACACCCAUAUUCGCCUCGCCAGCAUCCGCGUGGGCACCUACGCUCACGGGGCUCGCCUGUCUCUCUCUGUGACCUCAGCAAUGUAGUUUCCAAUGACGGGGAAAGAAUGAUCGGGGUGCUUUACUUAAGAGGAUAAUAUCACAGGGGGAAGGAGAGGUAGAGGAGGUGUGUGUGUGGGGGGGGAGGAGUGAGGAGAGAGGAGUGGGAUGCAAGACGGCGAAUAAAGGAGGCUCAGGAGGGAUGAUGGCAGACGAGGAAGAGGCAAAGUCUGCUCCCAUCAAUCUCUGACUGCAUGAUGCUCCCGUCCUAAGAAGAAACGAGCUCUUCAGUUCUCACAUGACAAAGCACAGAUUGAGCUUGGUGAAGACAAAGGCUGCUCGUGAAUGGUCGAGUUUCCAUACUACAAAAGUAUGUUUUUUUGUGCCCCUCCCUCCUCUUCUACAUGCAGGACCUGCAUCCUGUAAUUAGCGCCGGCCAAGACGACAUGUGAUGGGUUUCAAAGAAAUACCAACAAGCCACAGCGUUAUUUUUAAGUACACCAGAAUGAAUAUGUAUUACACUGCGCCAUGGAGAUAGGUCUGCCUGUGGGAGCAGAGAUAACGUCUAAUAAUGUCUCCGAAGGGUUUAUAUUGGAGUUUCGGUAGGUGCUGUUAGCUGCAAAUGCUCACGAAACAGCGCUGGAAUUGAUUGUAUUGUAUGAAUUUUGUAAAUAGUCAAUGGACUUGUAUUUGUAUAUUCCCUUUCACCCGUUUACGCAUUCAUACACUGAUGGCAGAGGCUCCCAUGCAGGGUGCCAUCUGCCCAUGAGGACCCCAAACUAACUCAUUCAUAUUCAUAUAUCCAGAGCACUGCCAAGGACACUAACACCUGUCUCUACAUACUUUGGGGCAGUUUUAUGAAGUUCAGAAGAGAUGCUGUCAUGAAAGUAUUUUAAUUUCAAUUGUUGUUUUCUAAUUAAAUGUCCAAAAUUCGCAAUCAACAUCACAUUAAGGAGUAAUGUCGAGGUGUGUUUUUUUGUUGUCUACAUACUUUUGACCAAUUAUAUAUGAUAUAGCUUGAAAUAUGCAUUGCCUUUGUCUCAAAAGCUGAAGCAAUCAAACAGAAUCACACUUGAUGCACUGGGUUAGCAGCACUCACAUGAUCGGACCACGCCCUGCUGUAAUUCUGCUUCCAACAACAAUCGUGUUUACAUUAUUCCAUCUACUCCAUCCGACACAGUGACAGUGAGCUACAAAACCAUUUGCAUCACUGGAAUUACAUCCAGGCCUAUUUCAAUUUUCAUCAUUAAAUAGGCUUCCACACAUGGCAGUGAUCAUGGUGUGCACAGGGGUUUUCCGGUGGUGCCGGCUUUGCUAGAUCACUGUUUCCAGGAGUAAAUAUCCAUCUCUCUUGUGAACAUCUGCCUGUGGCUAUCAGGGAGGUGACGGAGAAUCAAAAGAGCAAGGUUGCGACCGGACAGCUAAACAAUGAGCUAAAUCUCACUGAAAACGCUGCGUAUAGCGGAGAAGAGCCGCAGAUUAGAACAUUUUCUCUGCUUCCUUCCCAUUGAUACCGUCUUUUUUUCACAUUCUCAUUUAAUACAUUACAGAAAUAUUAAUUAUAGCUGCAAAGACACAAUUUUACAAAAAUGCAGCCUCAUUGUUAUUGGGGUGAAAUUGACAGAAGUAGCACUGUCAGUGUUUUUUAGUCAUGCAUAUAUACAAUGGAGCACUUGAAAACCCUCUUUUUGAUAAGAAUAUAAGAAUAUAUAAGAAACCUGUUCUGAAGAGCCACGUUUUGGUGGUGCCAUAACCAAGUAGUUCAUGUAAAUUUCCUCGCGUUUCUACUUCUUAGUAGUCUGAUCUCAAGCACUUCACUGCUUUUAGACUCAGUCUAUUUUCGAUGCACUCCCUGCAGUGUGAUACCGUAGCCUUUACUUGAGCCUUAGCGCACAAACUGCUGUGUCUAAAUAAAACACACUUGAUACUGCCGACAUGUCAGGAAGACUGCAAGGUGGUGUUUAGCUGGACAAGGACUUCCACCCACCUUAUGUUAUUUCCUGUAGAAACAGUAUUACUGCAGUGUCAUGACGGGUCAGGCCGGCGAUGUCCUCUCCGCACGCCAACAACUGUAGCGGUAGGCUUUGUGCCAGCAGAGGAAGUGUGAGGCAAUCAUUCACGGAUAAGAAUAUCUCCCUCUACGGUCACCUUUAGUUCUUACAAAUUCUGUAAGGGGAAAGUCCCUCUUACCCUCUGCAGGCCGGGGAGGCAACGCCGUUAUCUGCAGCUGCAGAUUUGGCCCGAGGGGUUGAGAGUCAACACCUGGGAUGUUGUCUUCUCUUGUGCUCGAGCUCUGAGUUUGUGUGGGUUGGUUAUCUGAUGACAACUCGUAAUCCUUUACACAAGUGUCCCUAUAGAUGAGCUUUACAGUGGAUUACACCGAGGAAUAGGGUUGGUAACCUUUCAGCUCUUAAUCUCAACAGUAUGAGCUUUGAAGGGACUUUUUCUUUUUCUUUUGGAGGACAUGUUUUCCUAAAAUGCUAUAUAAAUGCAUUUAGGAAAGCUCUUUGUCGCAUGUGAUGUAUAAAUGAAUAACUACAAAACACCAUCUUCUUAAUAUCUACUUUUUUAUUGUGAAUUCUAUUGGAUGAUAAUACAAUUUGCUUUUGUGCAAGUAGGGCCCAAAAGUUCCCAUUUGCACCAUUUCCACACGUGCAUCGCUACAGGAAGUCAUCACAAUCAGAUUAGAAUCAGCUUUAUUGGCUUACGCAUACAUGGAAUUUCCAUUCUUUACCUUUACUGUCCUACGGUACAUACAGUUUCUUUUUAAAAAACAAGAAAAAGGACUACACAAAAAGUGAAACGUGAAGGAAUACAUAUUCAACAUAGAUAUGAAUAUACAAUAAUCUGUUUUGAGUGCAGGGAAGAGAAGAAAAGGGCUGAACGCUGGUGGUUACAGCUGAUUCCCGAGGCUGCCGAUGUUGUAAGUUGACUGCUCUUAAGUUCCUCUGGAGGUGUGAAAAUUUUAAAAAGUACCUAAAACAUUCUGGAGCUGUAAAAACAUGCUUCAAAGGGGCAUUUAGUGUUCACUAUUGUAAGAUAGAAGAAGAAAAUGUUUUAUUCCUCUGAUGGAUCUGGGUAGAAGUUGCAUCCAAAGAAGACAGAAGAGGCAAUAUGUAUGAAAAUGAGCAGAGCAAUGUUCCAUCAGCUCCAAUAUCAACAGAGAAGUGAUGUCGUAAAAUACUUCGCCCUGGAUAUCAUUGCUCUGCAACACAUCGCUCUUCAUUGCUCCCAGCAAGCCUCCCAGGAUUAAAGAACAACAACAAUGCAAACGCACAUAGACACAUGCAGAUUGUGACAUGGUUACUAUCCAAACAUGUUUCCAGUAGCAUGCAUCACCAAAUAGACUGGAAGAAAAGAAGCAUGCUGACUCAACUAAAAACCCGCCCUGACCAGACACAGAUUUGCAUGCAAAGUGUGUUUUCAUUGACUUCUGUAAUGCAGAUAUUAUGGGUGCCUGUGGCUUAGUGGGUAAAAUGUUUUUGUCCAACCACAAAACUACUGGAUUUUUUUGGUAAUUUAUCUUUAAUGUCCUAUGCUUAUGCUUAUGCCUAUCUGAUCCAUCCAUGAAGUCAUCUAGGAUAUAUCCAGGAUGUCAAACUGAUUCAGCAAUGUAAACAGAUAAACAGAUAAAGAAGCUAAAGCCUACAGAUCACAGCUAAAGGUGAAUGAUCACCUGGUGCUAAAGGUAGAAGGUAGAAGUUUCUUCUGCACGUCGAUGCAUUUUGCUUUCAUCCAAACUCAGAGGAGCAUAAAAAUAUUUGGCAAACUUUCAUUUUUUUUUUUACAAAUGUCCAAUGGAUGAGAUAUUUUUAUUUGCCAGUUGAAAUGCAGAUCAUUAUAUCAUAUCUCAGCAUCUGUGAGGCCAAGCAGGUUUAUUGUUGGUGGCAAUUUGUGGCAAAAAAACAGAGCCCUCCAAGUCCUUUCAUGCAUCAUGUCUUUCUGUCCUUUUCUGUCUCUCCUCCCCAAGUACUUCGUCCCAUUUCCCAUCUCUGUCCCUCUCCCUUCACUUUCUGCCAAAAACAGGAGGCUGACAAUAGCUCCAAUGAAGAUGAAUUGAAAUAUGCUGUGGCUGGAUUCGGCUUCCCAAGACACACAAUGGAAGGACCCAGUGCUGCAAUUAUUACUCAGGAUUCCAGCUCGCUGCUCGGUAAGCUCAUUUUCCUUGUGUUCUUUCUCUUCGUCGAUCUUCCUCUCUGUCGUUUUCCACCUGAGUUUCUCUCCCUUUCAGGGUGGUGUUUCUAUCAGCCUCCUCUCCCUUUCGUUGAGUCCCUUCCAUCUUUCUCUCUUUCUCUUUCUCACCAUGUUCUUCUCAGUACAGUCCAUUAUUGUUGUUUGCUAAAGUAGAACUAUAAUUUCACAGCUGAGGAGCCAUAUCGGGUCUGCAGUAGUGAUUAAUAAUCUGACGGUGAAUAAUGAUUUCAUCCUCCAUAUUCAGCUGUAGGUAAUUACUCGCUGUGUAAUCGUGGAAUAGAUUUGCUCAUGAAAAACAGACUUAUUCAAAUGUGAGAUAUAAACCGGAGUGCCUUGGGUGCGCCGAGGCAUCCGUGAAGCUAAAUUUACAUGGGUGGGAUCCAAAUAUAGGCACAAGAAUAAGAUUAGAACAUUAGCGUGGGCGUCACUUCAAGGCUCUGCGAUCUUCCAAGUUUCCCCCGGUCUUGUUUCCUCCGCUGAAGUGCGGCAGGCGCCCUGCCUUUGCUGCCCCGUUCAUCCCAACUGUGAUGAAUGUGUCAAUACAAGGCAUUUCAUUCUCUUUGUCCUUGUAUCUGUUCUUGUCUAUAAUGAUAAUGGAUUCAAUUUGUUUUCUCAAUGGAAGUCGAGGGAUCGGGAGGUCGUUGGCAAAGCAACAGAUGGAUGGAGAGAAUGCAAGCCGGCGUUGCCAAAAUGAGACUUGAUAUUUUGUUGUUGGCGAUUUGGUUUUGUUUUUUCGUUUUUUAAUGGGUCUCAGAGCAGCUAAGCAGCGUACCGGAGGGUGUAAGACACUGUAAACACUGUAACUCACUUAGAAGGAUUCACAUAAAGGAAACGCUUUCUCUUGUGCACGGACACACACGUUUAAGUCCACGGGACAAAACAUAAUUCAUACUUUGCAUACUCCAACGACGUGUCUUUUUUUUACAUGCGUGUGUGUGUUUGUGUCUGUGUGCGUGGGCGUGUGCUUGUGAGUGUGCCUUUGUAUUUGCACAGCUUUGGUUAUUUUGGAUCUUGCUGAGGAUGCUAACACGUUAUACAGAUGAUCAAAACAAAGGUCACAAUGCAGUUAAUCCUGGUUGUCAGAGCAGUGCUAAGUGGGUGGGUUUUGUACAGUCUGUGUGUGCGUGUCUUUAUGUGCGUGUUCAUCUGUGUGUUAAUUCAGAAUUGGGUGUGUUUGCUCAGGUUUGGUUAUUUUGGGUGUCGUAAACGAGACAGUGAACUCUUUUCAUUGUAGAUACAAGUUUCUCCAUCUGGUUGCUAGGCAACCAAAGGCCUUCUGUUGUUCCACAAAAGGCACACGUGUGCAUGCCCAUCCAGAUGCACAUGCCAACAUGCACAGGUGCACACACGCAUGUAUAUGAACACACACACAUACCUGCGUGUUAGCGGUAAACAUGCAGCUCUAGCUGCAGAUAAACAACAGCUAUCGCCCCCAUCACAGUGUCCACUCUGAGGUUUGUUCUCACAGAUCACAUGCCAGAUCACAAACAGCGUGUCUGCCGGUGUGUUUGUGCGAGCGUGUGCGCGUGUGUGUGUGUUUGUGUGUGAGCAUCAGGGGGAUUUUGCCAUUGUUCAGACCGUUUAGAUAGUUCUGCUUGCCAUGGACUCAACAAUCCCCUUUCCGUACGCACACAGAGCAACACAGGCACAAACAGGCAUGCAAACUCCUCCACAUAUGGCUACACACUCCACACAAGCGCGCAUAAACACACACACGCACCAUAUUUCUCAUGAUGACAGGUGGAGCAAUGUGCCGUUGGAUUAGCACCAAACAGAAGAGGAGGUUUGGAACGUAACGUAAUGCUUUGUUGAUAGAAACCAGACGCUGCUCCUCCUGACUUUGGCUUUUCAUGCAGUGUGUCCCCGUACACGCUUCGCUCAAAAUAAGGCCAAUGAUGAUAGAAUGAGGCAAUCUCCGCUCUUCAGGGCGUGUGUGCGUCAGGAGAGAAGGAAAGCCGCAAACACGGGUAACGGAAUCCAGACAUGAGUGUAUGUAUCUGGGGGUGUGUGAAAGUGUGUGUGUGUGUGUGUGUGUGUGUGUGUGUGUUUGUGUGUGUGUGUGUGUGCUCAUUAAACGGGUAAGAAAAAAAGGACCAGCUCGGGAGGGAGAGAUUUCUCGGUGCCCAUCAGCAAGGAUUUACUGAUGAGGAAGUAAAGGUUCUCUCAUCUCUCCUCAGACGUUCCCUCCUCAGCUUGCGCCGCUUUCCUUACUGUCUUUUAUUAAUUGCCAUCGUUCUAUUCUAUGAACUGGCUUUGUCAGCACGUACACCCUGUGAAGGCGGAGAGAGUUGAAGUUCUGACCGAUUUCAAAGAGAAAUUAUGUUCUGUAUUCCAACUGUAGAGGGAAACGGCAAAUCUCGACCGCCUUCAGCUGCAGCUCGUUUCAAGUUGAAACAGAUGGUGAGACUUCAGCGGUGCCCCUGCAACAGGCGAGACUGUACGACUACAAAGCUAAGAUAAGUGAUAAUGACGACUUGUAUCAGCAUGGAGCAAAGGAUAAACAACACCUUGACAGGAAAUGAGUAAAAAUGUGUUAGAAUACACAAAGGACUUAUUCUACCACUGUCUCGAAGAGAGAAAGAAGGCAGGAAUAUAUUUUAAGAAUGCGGAGCUCUCCAGAAAUGAGAUGCCCUUUGCUGGGAAACAAAAGAUUUUUAUGAUAGAACUGCAAACUGUUCAAUAUUGAAGCACCCCUGCAACUCAAAUACGUGUUUUGCUUAUUGUAACUGGACUUAGAUGUUUGACCUUCACUGCUCAAAGUGAAACACGUGCAGAGGUUAACAACCAAGGGCGUUUCUCACAUUGAUCUCCACGAGGGGGAAU